CCUUCGAUAGCUCAGUUGGUAGAGCGGUGGACUGUAGAGGAAGCUUCACGCGGCAGUGAUCCAUAGGUCGCUGGUUCAAAUCCGGCUCGAAGGA
rfam:Aedes albopictus isolate Foshan contig92600, whole genome shotgun sequence.